UGUUUUAUCCUGUGUCCCUCGUUUUUUUAAGAACACCCUCAUUAUAGGCCUGAAAUACAAAGUAGUUUAAAAUAGAAGACUCCUUUAAAAGAUAGUUUUCAUACAGUUAAGCAAAGAACUAGAAGGGAUUUUCUCCAUCAUUAGGACUGUGUAUUAUUUUCAUAUAAAAAUAAACUGAGGAACAACAAAGAAAUAUAUAUAUAUAUAUCAUUGAAGCCACUGUAGACUUUAAUUAAUUCCUAGGUAAAAUUAGUAUGCAUUGCAGUUUAGAGAAACAAAAUACACAAGCCUGCUAAUCAAAAUGUUCAGCUACCAGAGCAGGGGCUUUUCAUUAGUUAUAUUGUCUGGAAUUUCAUCACUCUACCAGCUGGCUUCUUGUCAAUUUAUAGCCUGGACCUUUACAUCAAACAGAAAAAAAAAAUUAAUUACAGGGAAAGGAAUCCCAAUAGGAAUUUUGUGCUUAGAGGUUUUUCACAAUUAACCAGACAUGAAUGGGAAUGUGUACAGAGGAAAUAGAAAGGAAGCGAAAGAACUUUGUUGAAUUUUCUAGAAUCAUUAACUGUAGCAGCGUUAGCCGCCUGCCUGCCUAUUUUGUCCUAAAGUUGUUUCACCAAAUAUGUCAGCCAUCCCUUUUCUGAACGCUCUCAAGUCUGGUGCGCCAUUGAACUCAGUGAAUCACGACAUGAACUGAAAACGUUCUUACAUGUUGUCCCCAGUGAGAGCUCAAAAAUCGUUCUCUUGCCUUCACUUUGAAUUUGGUAACAUUCUGUAGGUUAUACUCCUGAUCAUAAUCAUAACUUAACGAGCUGAGAGAUGCUUUGAGGGUGACUGUUUGGUUACUUGUAAUGCCUCUUUGGACUAAAAGUCCUGUUCUCAAGUGUUGCAGUCACAGCCUCUGGGUCCCACAGUAAUUUCAAAUGUGACUUUCGUAAGCCUCUUAUCGGUUGAAGAAACCAACCAGCAGUUUUCACAAUGCUUCUGUCUUAUUUUCUUUUGUUAUGUUGCUUAGAAAAAUUUCCAUGUGACCCAUAUUCCUAAAUCCCAGGAUUCGACUAGAGUCUUCCUUUUUCAAAUACAUUGUCGGCUACCAUGCCUAGAAAGUAUAAAGAAAACAUUUCCACUUAAGAAAAGUUUAUAUGGGCCAACACCUAGGAUGCAUUACUGAGGGUACCAGGCAGUCACUCAGAACCUGAUGAGCCAGGUUCUGACUAGUUAUGGAAUUAAACAAGGAGUGUACACAUACCGUGUGACGUGCAUACAUAGCAUUCCUGUGUGAUUUGUAAUAGCAUUUUCCAUUUAGCUAACUUCAAAUGCAUAUUAAGACCAUGCUGUCCCCAGCCCAUAGCAUUGUCUAUUCUACAAUAAACUCACCACCUUCUGGGCCAUCAUAAGAAUUACAUUUAUGUUCUUGAUCAUUUUUAAUAUAGAGCAGCCCCUAGUUAUCAGCUCACUUUGAUGUUCAUAUUUCACUGCACUGUCUUGAGCAGUGCCAUAUUUCCUAAGUAAUUUGUAGACCACAACUGAGGAGAACAUUUUUUUUCAAACUUUUUGUAAUGAUAGUAUUUUUCUUCAUUAAGGGUGCGAGCUGGGAGCUACUAACAGGCACUUUGCAGGUUUGGCGGUUCAGCCUGCGAAUGCUUUGCUGCUCUCCCAAGGUCACCUUCAGAGCCUUCAAGUGAUUUACUUCCAUUUAUUCUGCACUUGUGUCUAUAUGGCUUUG
rnacentral:lncRNA from 1 species